rnacentral:ncRNA from 1 species
CAGAGUAGAGAAUAAAGCGUUAAGUGUCAAAAAGACGGAAUGUGCUUUUGAACGAAGAAGUCGAUUCGCGGUUUUAUUCUCGCAUUCGCUGC